AUCGAAUUGGGUCGGGUAUGGGUAGAAAAUAUUUUGCCCAAACCAGAUGGGUCGAGUGUGGGGAAUUUUCCAAAGGAAACGGGUAAAUGGGUACUGGAGCCAAGCCUCAGCCCAAGAAGGCAAGAAAGAUAAAAAAGGAAUCUCGUAUGUGGAUGGAUCCCAAUCUUCCUUAUCCCAAAUUUCCUAAUCGUUCGAGGAGAUCGUGGGCGGCGGCUGGAGGUAGUGGGGCGGCGGGCGGCGGCCAGUGCCGACGGGCGUGCGGGCGGCGGCCGGAGGCAGGGGGCGUGCGACGGGCGGCCGCCAGCGCCGACGAGCGCGCGGGUGGUGGCCAACCGCUGAAGGGAGCGCGCGAUGAGCAGCGGCCAACACCGACGAGCGCGUGGGCGGCUGCCAACCGCCGAAGGCAGCGCGGGAGGCGGCCACGGCGGUUCGUACUCUCCUCCGCCUUCUCUCCGGCCCUCGACUCAUUCGAUCCCCAUCCUCAUCGACGGCGACGUGCCUCGACGCCACGGCGGCAGACCUGUGGGCGCGGGUAGGUGGUGCUGCUGCGGUGGCGGAUCUACCUGCAGAUAAUUAACUGAUUUUGUGUCUGGAAUUUGCCAUCGUUUCGGUGGUAGCAUGGUUUGUAUUAUUUGGUAUGAAAUCUGAAUUUGUUCUGAUUGAUCCAAUAUUGCCCAAAUAUGCAAUGCAUAUGGGUAAAAUGAGUAAUGGGCAAAUUCGGGGAAGGUGAAUACGGGGAUUUUUCAUGUUUGGUUGGGCCGCUCAACUUGGACGGCCAAGUUGGGUGGGUUGGGGCCAACCACAUUUUUCUGGUUGGGGCCAACCACCUGAGUGUUUGGUUGUGUGGGUGGGGCGAACCCAAAUUCAUGUUUGGUUGCCUAGUCGGACUGAAUGGGUCAGCCCAGUUUCAUGUUUGGUUGUUGGUUUUUUCAUCCGGCUCUUCUUCCACCUCUGUGGUUAGACUCCGUUAACCCAAGCUCCACCACCGCCGCUUGAUCUCCCCUUCGAUUCUCUCACUUCCGGCAGUUUUUCCACAAAUUGAAGAACUGGAAUUGUUCUCCUUCUCUGCAAAAAAAGGAAUUAUUCUCCUUCACUGUAUGAAUCGAUUUUUGCCUGUUAUCUCCUAAAUCUUUCUUAAUUUCAGAUCAAAAUGGAUAGUUUAUCAGGUCAAAAACUUCCUACGUUGGGUCUUCUCCCCGUGUACAUGUCGAGAGGAAGGGCGCAGAGGAAGAAGACGGACGGGGUAGCCGCGGAGGCGGCCAGAGCAAGGGCCGGAGGCGAGCAGCAAGGCCGGCCUGCGCCGGUGGUUGGCCGGAGGAAGGACCAGAAGCGUCCAUGUCGGGAUCGAAGUGGGAGGGGGCAGAGGAAGAAGAAGGAGGGGCAGAGGAAGUCGAGGUCGGCGGCGGCGAGCAGCAGGACUGCCGUCCCCCGGCCUCCACCAGCCGCCCCUUCUCUGGCAGCGAGGGUUCAGCGGCCGGCGGCGGGGCGCGCGACGGCAGGCUCCUCGCAGGCGACGGUGGCGUCGACGGGGCUCGUAGGCGACAGCGCAAGGUCGGAGCAGCAUCUGCGCGAGGUCGGAGCAGCGACGGCAUGAGGUAGAGACGGGCGAGAGAGGGACGGGCUCGCGUGAGGAAGCAGACGGGCGAGCGAGAGAGCGCUUCGCCUGACGAAGAAGACUCGUAAGAGGCCGCCCCGCUCGUGAGCCGCGUGAGUCGACCGAUUUGGCCGGCUCACGCGGACCAGCGUUUCGGAACUUUUUUCGUUCCAAGCCAGCCACGCCCCGAAGCCAAACACGAGCAAAAACUGUUUUGGGCCAGUCGGCACUGCGCGGGGCGGCCCAACCCUGUGAACCAAACAAUAAUCUGCCAAUCUAACGAGCAAACGUUCCCACGGUUGUCUUGCCGUGCGGCGUGUCUCCACAUCCGUUUGAUCACUCUUGUACGUUUCCGUCCGUUCAAAGGCCAGCUCUCUCCUUAUCCACUGCCGUCUCUUUCUUCGUUUCCCACUUCCGACCUUGUUCCCAACCCCAGUUCAUCUCUGUGGCCGAUGGUCCUCUCCCCCGCCACGUCCUUCUGACCUUCUCUCUCUCUCUCUCCCGCUAGCGCCGCCGCUGCCAGCGACCACCGGACGACGGAGUCCCGCCAUGUCCCUCUCCCUCUCUCUGCUAAUGCUGCUGCCGCCAGCAACCGCCACCCCCGGCGGUCAUCUCUCCCGACAUGUCCUUCCUUACAGCGUGUGGGACGCCAGCAUGCAGAGGAGAAGGUAGAAGGCGGCGUCGGCGAAGGCCUCCUGAGGUCUCGGAGUCUUCCCUGAUCCCCUCGGCCCGAUCCCCUCUCCGGCUCUCCCGUUCCCCUGACCUGGCGACCUGGGCGGGCGCAACUGCCUGCGUGGCGGCGCAACGGAAUUCUGGUGACCGGCCCUGGGAUUCCCCUUCGUCUCCUCUCUCCCUCGACCUGGCGACCUUCGACCCGGCGGCCGGCGACCAGUACCACAGCAGCGGCCCGACGGAUGGCAACCAGCAGCACUACAACAGCAACCCUACGACGACUCGCAAGAAUCGGUCGAACCCUCCCCGAGUACUACUGACUGUUGUCUCCCUCUGUGAAUCUCGAUUUGUCCAAUCAGCAGUUGCUUUAACCGGGGGAUAAGAGAGAUCAGUGGUGCUAGAACUUGCGAUUAGGCUGAAAAUGGCUAAAAAGGUCAACACUGAUUUGUACUUCAGAAGACAAAGAACAGAGGCUGAUACAGGAAGACAGUACUACUAGGAGUAGUAUUUUUGGAGACUGAUUGGUAUGAUCAAGUACUCCGGUCGGAAUUACUUGUCGAAAUAUUACAUGUAUCUAGACAAUUUUUACACAUAGAUACAUCCGUAUCUGGGCAAAUUUGAGACAACUAAUAGUGGUAGGGAGUAGUAUAUUUUGGUAUAGUACAAUAGUUAGUUAUGUUAUGAAGUAGUUCAAUAUAUAUGGAUCUCAUCAUACAUGUAUUUUGCAACCAAUCUGGCCAAUAUCAAAUAUUCUCUAAUUCUUGCUCA